rnacentral:rRNA from 1 species
UACGGGGGGGGCCAGCGUUGUUCGGAAUUACUGGGCGUAAAGGGCUCGUAGGCGGCCAACUAAGUCAGAUGGGAAAUCCCCGGGCUCAACCCGGGAACUGCGUCCGAUACUGGAAGGCUUGAAUCCGGGAGAGGGAUGUGGAAUUCCAGGUGUAGCGGUGAAAUGCGUAGAUAUCUGGAGGAACACCGGUGGCGAAGGCGACAUCCUGGACCGGUAUUGACGCUGAGGCGCGAAAGCCAGGGGAGCAAACGGG